rnacentral:rRNA from 1 species
UACAGAGGGGGCAGGCGUUGUUCGGAAUUACUGGGCGUAAAGGGCUCGUAGGCAGCCAACUAAGUCAGACGUGAAAUCCCUCAGCUUAACUGGGGAACUGCGUCUGAUACUGGAUGGCUUGGAUUCGGGAGAGGAAUGCGGAAUUCCAGGUGUAGCGGUGAAAUGCGUAGAGAUCGGGAGGAACACCAGAGGCGAAGGCGGCGACCUGGACAGGUACUGACACUCAACUACGAAAGCGUGGGGAGCAAACAGG